CAGCCGCCGCGGUAAAACCAGCACCUCAAGUGGUCAGGAUGAUUAUUGGGCCUAAAGCAUCCGUAGCCUGCUUUGUUAGUUUUCGGUUAAAUCCAUACGCUCAACGUAUGGGCUGCCGGGAAUACUGCAAAGCUAGGGAGUGGGAGAGGUAGACGGUACUCGGUAGGAAGGGGUAAAAUCCUUUGAUCUAUUGAUGACCACCUGUGGCGAAGGCGGUCUACCAGAACACGUCCGACGGUGAGGGAUGAAAGCUGGGGGAGCAAACCGGAUUAGAUACCCGGGUAGUCCCAGCUGUAGACUAUGCAAACUCAGUGAUGCAUUGGCUUGUGGCCAAUGCAGUGCUGCAGGGAAGCCGUUAAGUUUGCCGCCUGGGAAGUACGUACGCAAGUAUGAAACUUAAAGGAAUUGGCGGGGGAGCAC
rnacentral:rRNA from 2 species